UUCGGGGGACAGGGUGACAGGUGGUGCAUGGUUGUCGUCAGCUCGCGUCGUGAGAUGUUGGGUUAAGUCCCGCAACGAGCGCAACCCCUAUCUUUAGUUGCCAUCAUUGAGUUGGGCACUCUAAAGGAGACUGCCGGUGUCAAACCGGAGGAAGGUGGGGAUGACGUCAAGUCCUCAUGGCCUUUAUGACCAGGGCUACACACGUACUACAAUGGCCGGUACAAAGGGCAGCGACACAGCGAUGUGAAAGCCAAUCCCGAAAAGCCGGUCUCAGUCCGGAUUGGAGUCUGCAACUCGACUCCAUGAAGUUGGAAUCGCUAGUAAUCGCGGAUCAGCACGCCGCGGUGAAUACCGGUUCCCGGGCCUU
rnacentral:rRNA from 1 species